rnacentral:rRNA from 1 species
GCAGGCGCGCAAAUUACCCAAUCCUGACACAGGGAGGUAGUGACAAUAAAUAACAAUACAGGGCUCUUCGAGUCUUGUAAUUGGAAUGAGUACAAUUUAAAUCCCUUAACGAGGAACAAUUGGAGGGCAAGUCUGGUGCCAGCAGCCGCGGUAAUUCCAGCUCCAAUAGCGUAUAUUAAAGUUGUUGCAGUUAAAAAGCUCGUAGUUGAACUUCAGGCUAGGUUGGUCGGUCCACCUAACAGUGAGUACUGACUGGCCUGGUCUUCCUUCUGGCUACUUAGGCUGCUUUUAAUCGGGUGGCCUAAUGUACCAGGACUUUUACUUUGAAAAAAUUAGAGUGUUCAAAGCAGGCCUACGCUUGAAUACAUUAGCAUGGAAUAAUAGAAUAGGAUCUUGGUUCUAUUUUGUUGGUUUCUAGGACUAAGGUAAUGAUUAAUAGGGACAGUUGGGGGCAUUAGUAUUUCAGUGUCAGAGGUGAAAUUCUUGGAUUUCUGAAAGACUAACUACUGCGAAAGCAUCUGCCAAGGAUGUUUUCAUUAAUCAAGAACGAAAGUUAGGGGAUCGAAGACGAUUAGAUACCGUCGUAGUCUUAACCAUAAACUAUGCCGACUCAGGAUCAGCCGGAUAUUUUUUUAGUACCGGCUGGCACUGUAUGAGAAAUCAAAGUUUUUGGGUUCUG